AUGUCUCCUUCAUGUUCAGCCCACAGAAUCACAGAAUCACAGAAUGACCUGGGUUGGAAGGGACCUCAAGGAUCAUGGGCUGUGGGACAGGAGCAGAGACAGCACCCGCUGUGUUGUUUGAGAGGUGCCAAGGAGGGCCAUGUAAAAGCGGGGCUUGUAAGAGCCUGGGGAUUGGACCUUCUGGGACUUCUCUCCUUCAGUAACUCUCAGUUAUUGCUGUGAACUUCACACCACUUUACAAGCAUCAUUACCCUGAUAUUUAAUUUAGAGAGAGAAAGGAAAAGAACAUUUCAUGCUGGCAGGUCUGGCCAGGAAUCAUCCUCCUCACUGUUUCAGCCUCUGUGCCAGGAGAAGGAAUGCUCCGUGCCACAUCCCCAGUGGAAGCAUGAAGUGCUGGAGGACUGCUCUGCAAACCAGGCACCCAAGGAGUGCGUACCACUCAACAGGGAAGAGAAAAAAGUUAGGGAAGAGAAGAAUUGACACCACACAAGAUAAAGGAGUUGGGUAGUGAGGAAAAGAGAGGGAACACAUGGAACUCUACUCCAGGUAUGGCUGUUUGAAUGGUCUUUCUGUGUUCCGAGAAUCCUAUGUGUUUCUGUGUUCCAAGAGAAUCCUAGGGUUUCUCUUCUGGUCCUACCCAACAGGCUGCAUCAGGGCAAGGAGAAUAAGCAUUUUACUGCAUAAAGAAAGAACUGUACAAGUUUACAGCUCUUUUGCUGAACUACUUGAACUGUUUUCUUUAGAAAUUUGAGGAGUUAUUGCAGGACAAUUUUAAGGAGUGAAUUUGAAGUGUAAUGCCCAGUCUGCCCUUGUGCCUGGUGUGAAUCAAGGCAGAGACAUUUCACUAUGGAUUAGGAGUGUCCUCAUGAAGAGUUAGUAUGCAAUAACUAUUCUAGGUUAUUUCCCCAGGUAGACAAGCCUAAACAUCUGAUAAAUAGGCCUAUUACUUUUUCUCUUAACCAAUUAAGUACUUAUUUUAGAAGGAAAAGAUGAAUUAUCACAUAACUAUUUCUACAAUAUGUCUUACUUAAUAC
rnacentral:lncRNA from 1 species